rnacentral:rRNA from 1 species
CCUACGGGCGGCAGCAGUGGGGAAUAUUGCACAAUGGGGGAAACCCUGAUGCAGCGACGCCGCGUGAGUGAAGAAGUAUUUCGUUAUGUAAAGCUCUAUCAGCAGGGAAGAAAAUGCCGGUACCUGAAUAAGAAGCCCCGGCUAACUACGUGCCAGCACCCGCGGGAAUACGUAGGGGGCAAGCGUUAUCCGGAUUUACUGGGUGUAAAGGGAGCGUAGACGGGUGUGCAAGUCCGGAGUGAAAGGCGGGGGCUCAACCCCCGGUCUGCUGUGGAUACUGUACGGCUGGAGUGCAGGAGAGGUAGGUGGAAUGCCUGGUGUAGCGGUGAAAUGCGUAGAUAUUAGGAGGAACACC